GACGAACGCUGGCGGCGUGCUUAACACAUGCAAGUCGAACGGAAAGGCCCUGCUUUUGUGGUGUGAUCGAGUGGCGAACGGGUGAGUAACACGUGAGUAACCUGCUCUUGACUUUGGGAUAACUUCAGGAAACUGGGGCUAAUACCGGACAGGAGCUCCUGCUGCAUGGUGGGGGUUGGAAAGUUUCGGCGGUAGGGGAUGGACUCGCGGCUUAUCAGCUUGUUGGUGGGGUAGUGGCUUACCAAGGCUUUGACGGGUAGCCGGCCUGAGAGGGUGACCGGCCACAAUGGGACUGAGAGACGGAGCAGUCUCGUACGGGAGGCAGCAGUGGGGAGUAUUGUACAAUGGGAGGGAGCCUGAUGAAGAAACGCCGGGUGCGGGAAGCCGGCCUUCUGGGUGUGAACCGCUUUCGGCUAUGACGAAGCGUGAGUGACGGUAAUGAGAAAAGAAGCACCGGCUAACUACGUG
rnacentral:rRNA from 1 species